UAAUCAUCCAAGUCAAAUAAUAUGACUGAGUUAGGUUAUACUGAUGAGUUACUUAUAAACUUAGUGGAGGCUCGACCCGUAUUGUGGAACAAAACCUUAGAAAUUUACAAAGAAAGACGAACCACUUUUGAAGCAUGGAGAGAAAUAUUUAUUAUUCUGAACAAUGAUUUUGAAGAAAUGACAGAUAAACAAAAAAAUGAAUAUGGUAAGUCUAUAAUGAAGAAAUGGAAUAACAUGCGCGAUCGUUGGAUAAAAUGCAACAAAAGACGUAAAGAAAUGAAAUCGGGAUCGGGUGCAAAGAGCGUUCGUAAAUGUGAUUUCUAUGAUCAAAUGCUUUUUUUAAACAAAGUUACAACACGUCUUGAAACUGAUGGAAACAUACCCUUAGCUUCAAAUGUGGAAAAAUCUCCCAAAAUUUCACGUAUCGCAAAAAAAAGGAUAAAACAAGAGGAUGUUUCUGAGGUAGACCGAAAUAAUGCGCAAACGCAAUUCAUAAAAACUGUUACUAACGAAGAAGAGACACAAGAAGAGAGUCGUGCCAUGGCAUUUUUUAAAAGCAUAGCAUUGAGUGUAGAUAAGUUUAGUGAUGAGGAAAUGGUCGACUUUCAAUUUGAGGUUAUCAAACUGGUGCGCAACACACAAAAACGUAGGGGGAAUGAUGUUCGGCAUUAAUGGAAUCAAACUGACAAAAUAUAUUAAUACCCCGAGUAUUACGAAACAAGGCAGUCUCAUAUCCCAUCAUACUCGACCCGGCCAGGCUAUAACUACUAAAAACCCUGUCGCUCGUACCGGAAAAUACCUACAACUAAACUGCAAUUUGUAGUGGGAUACAACGUACACAGAAGAAUACGAUUUUGACUUUUCGUUGAUUAAAUGAUAAACCUA